UACGUAGGGUGCAGGCGUUAAUCGGAAUUACUGGGCGUAAAGCGUGCGCAGGCGGUGAUGUAAGACAGAUGUGAAAUCCCCGGGCUCAACCUGGGAACUGCAUUUGUGACUGCAUCGCUGGAGUGCGGCAGAGGGGGAUGGAAUUCCGCGUGUAGCAGUGAAAUGCGUAGAUAUGCGGAGGAACACCGAUGGCGAAGGCAAUCCCCUGGGCCUGCACUGACGCUCAUGCACGAAAGCGUGGGGAGCAAACAGG
rnacentral:rRNA from 1 species